UUUACCUCUGCUGUUUUGCUCUGCUGAAGUGUCAAUCAUUUACCAAAAAUGUUGGAGUACUUUGGGUGGAUAUUAGCAAAGAAGGAAUCAAUUUGGCAAGAUUUACAAAAAUUGCCUAAAAAAGCAUUCAUCUGCUAGUACAAGCUGAGACAUGAAAAUCUCUCUUAUUCUGAGCAUUUUCCAGGCUGGAUUGAGUGUAAGAUAGCUCAAAGCAUACACCCCUAGAGAGCUCCAUCAUCACUCCUCUGUUUGAUUUGGAAACACCAACUGUAUCUCACUGAGCAAUAGGGUAAUCUCUGCUCCACUAUCACUCAGGAGACACAUGAGAGUCUUCAGCAACACCACAUCUCAAAAGCUUCAGUUGUCUUCUCAUCAGCAACAUUGAUUCCCCAUGAUUCACAUCAUGGGUAGGCCUCUCUUAAUGGAGGGUGCCAGUUGUCAAAAUGGGCGCAGUAAACAGAGUUAUCAAGCAACAAGGGAAAAUGAAGGUAGCUCAAACAGGUGAAAAAGAAACAGCAGGGAGCAUCCUUCCACACAGACUCUUUGUCCCCUAUUUCCCAGCUGGAAAUGUUUUUUCAAGAGGAAGACUGAAACUAUAAAAAGAACGGGCAAACGCCAGAAGACACCCCCCUCUCUGUCUCCCUGCCUGUUUCUGGCCUCACAUUUAAGAAGACAAAGGAAAACAUCUCUUGGACUUUGGGGGUAAGGACUUCAGGUCCUGGCCUGAAGAGUUUUGUCAAUAACCUCGCUGGAAGCAUGUGGUGAGAAAUUUUGCUUGAAUCUAAUAUAGUUUGUUAAAUUAGGCAUUAGUCAGUGUUUUAACUUUAUUUUUCUUGUAACCAUUUCUGACUUGGAUGCAUCAUUAC